CUUUGAACACAUGGGCUUAUAGUUUUAUACUGUGUGGUCACAGCCAUCCAUGGUGCUUCUAGAACAGUAUGAGAAUGGCUUUCAUGUUAACCACUCGUGAGUCAAAUAAUGUCUUAUGUGCAGGAAAUAUAAUGCUUUACUAUGUCCUUGGUGAGAUCCAACCUUACAAUUUGUAAAUAGGCCCGACAUGGCUAUUAUAUGAUUACGAGUCAAUUUCAAGGAUUGAUUUUAGAGAUGGAUUUAGUAAUAUCUGUGACAUUUGUGGAACAUGGGGCAUGUUAAGGAAGACGUUGAACAUUUGGGACAGACUUCUGCUAAAGGCAUAAGGAAGGCACAGAAUCAUGGACAUGGAAGCUGAGAGUCUGCCUAAUGAACUUAAGGCUGCAGAAUGAUGUCUUCUCUCUCUUUGAAUAAGAGCAAAGAAAAUACCUUCCAAGUAAGGACUCCUAGAUUUUGGAGUUUGCAUCCAUCCUGCAUUCAUCACAUUUAUUUUACAUCUGACCCCAACUGUUUGCCUAAAUUAGAUUGAAAAUUAAGGAGCAAAGGAUGCCCGCAGCAAAGGAAUUGCACAUUUUUGGAAGUUUGAGCAAAACAGCAGAUGAAACAUCAGCUGGGCAUCGUGAGCUCGGACUCAUUAAAGCAGGCUGGGAGUCACUAAGAGAAAUAGGCCUAACCUGUGCAACAACAGUGAGGACUUAAUUUGUGAGGUAGGUACAACGUAAAAGUAAGGUGUUUUAUAUUUCAUUUCAUCUCACUACUACUAGGAAUUAGCCACUCAGCGUUUGGUAUUUUUAUGCCACUUGAGUCUAAUCUUCCUGUAUUCUUUUCUUUGUUCCCUUCUUUGAAAAGUCAGUGAACAAACAACAACCAUGACCACAAAAUGUUAGAUCAUUUGGUGUAUGAUGUCCUGGGCUCUGGCAUUUUUAAAACUUAGAUGUGUAUUGUAUUUUUAUUU